GCCUGGUGUGUGGUNCUAUGACACAUAUGC
rnacentral:piRNA from 1 species